rnacentral:rRNA from 1 species
GGGUGAGUAACACGUAAGCAACCUGCCUAUAAGAGGGGAAUAACAGUGAGAAAUUACUGAUAAUACCGCAUAAGCUGGAGGUAUCGCAUGAUACAUUCAGAAAAGAUUUAUCGCUUAUAGAUGGGCUUGCGUCUGAUUAGCUAGUUGGUGAGAUAACAGCUCACCAAGGCGACGAUCAGUAGCCGGAUUGAGAGGUUGAACGGCCACAUUGGGACUGAGACACGGCCCAGACUCCUACGGGAGGCAGCAGUCGGGAAUAUUGCACAAUGGAGGAAACUCUGAUGCAGCGACACCGCGUAUAGGAAGAAGGUCUUAGGAUUGUAAGCUAUUGUCGUGUGAGAAGAAAAUGACCAUCACAGGAGGAAGCCCUGGCUAAAUAUGUGCCAGCAGCCGCGGUAAUACAUAUGGGGCGAGCGUUAUCCGGAUUUAUUGGGUGUAAAGGGUGCGUAGGCGGGAAAAUAAGUCAGUAUGUGAAAUCCCUCGGCUCAACUGAGGAACUGCAACUGAAACUAUUUUUCUUGAGUGUUGAAGGGGAAAGUGGAAUUCCUAGUGUAGCGGUGAAAUGCGUAGAGAUUAGGAGGAACACCAGUGGCGAAGGCGACUUUCUGGGCAACAACUGACGCUGAGGCACGAAAGUGUGGGGAGCAAACAGGAUUAGAUACCCUGGUAGUCCACACCGUAAACGAUGGAUACUAGGAGUUGGCAAAAAUA